CCUGCGGAAGGAUCAUUACCGAGUGAGGGCCCUCUGGGUCCAACCUCCCACCCGUGUUUAUUUUACCUUGUUGCUUCGGCGGGCCCGCCUUAACUGGCCGCCGGGGGGCUUACGCCCCCGGGCCCGCGCCCGCCGAAGACACCCUCGAACUCUGUCUGAAGAUUGUAGUCUGAGUGAAAAUAUAAAUUAUUUAAAACUUUCAACAACGGAUCUCUUGGUUCCGGCAUCGAUGAAGAACGCAGCGAAAUGCGAUACGUAAUGUGAAUUGCAAAUUCAGUGAAUCAUCGAGUCUUUGAACGCACAUUGCGCCCCCUGGUAUUCCGGGGGGCAUGCCUGUCCGAGCGUCAUUUCUGCCCUCAAGCACGGCUUGUGUGUUGGGCCCCGUCCUCCGAUCCCGGGGGACGGGCCCGAAAGGCAGCGGCGGCACCGCGUCCGGUCCUCGAGCGUAUGGGGCUUUGUCACCCGCUCUGUAGGCCCGGCCGGCGCUUGCCGAUCAACCCAAAUUUUUAUCCAGGUUGACCUCGGAUCAGGUAGGGAUACCCGCUGAACUUAAGCAUAUCAAU
rnacentral:rRNA from 1 species